rnacentral:lncRNA from 1 species
CAAAUGGCCGCGGCGGCCCCAGGUCCGGCGUCACUCAGACAAGAGGGCGGGUAGAGGAGGAAGCGGCCAAGUCCACAGUACUGCUCUGGUGCCGCCGAUCACCGCUCACCUCAGCUGACCAGCCCUGUCCUCUACUGGGCCUCGCCUAGAGGAGGGAAAGGCCGCGGCGUCCGCUUCCUCCGCGGCUCAUGGCGACGACGCUUGGCACAUCCGGGACCCUCAGGCCGCUGCGGUCGCGUCGCCGGCUGCUCGGGCCCCAACCCCGGCCGCUGUGGUGACUCCGCCGCGCCUCGCCGUCGCCCCCGUCCCGCCCGCCGCCCCAGCCGCCAGGAACAUGUCUAACCUCGGAGGCCGUAGGAACGGGCCUGUCGAAGUGCGCCUGACAGGAAUCAUAUUGACAGGUCAUGAAAAUGAGACCAAAAGAUCUCUGGAAGCGAUUAAUGAUAAAAUUUCAUGGAGAAGAAGGCCUUGACUACGGAGGGGUUGCCAGCCCAACUCAACUGGAGUCCUGAGAAGGUGACCAGACCAGGAUGGAGGCCCAGGGAACUCACCAGAAGUCCCCAUGCAUCAGAACAAGGUCGAAGCAUCCUGAAGGACCCUUCUUUGAAUGAAACAAUAAGAUUCAUAUAAGCAACAGGUCUGAGCUGAGGUGUCAUCUCUGAACACCAGGCUGCUGCACUAACCAGAAGACCCCUCCCCCCCCUGCAGUGGCCUCGCUGCAUCGUAAGGACGGAGGAGCUGUUGUCUCCACAGCUGACAGGUGCUUAGCGGUUAGAAGUCUGGUUUUGGCGCGGCUUAGAUCUUUACAUCUGAACUAGUCUUGUCAACAUAUUUUGUUAUAUUUCUGGUGGCUUUGUCUUUGAUGCUAU